UACGGGGGGGGGCAAGCGUUGUUCGGAAUUACUGGGCGUAAAGGGCGCGUAGGCGGUCAGACCAAGUCGAGUGUGAAAUUCCAGGGCUUAACUCUGGCACGCUCGCUCGAUACUGGUCGGCUAGAGUGUGGAAGAGGAUGCUGGAAUUCCCGGUGUAGCGGUGAAAUGCGUAGAUAUCAGGAAGAACACCAAUGGCGAAAGCAGCUCUCUGGGACGGUACUGACGCUGAGACGCGAAAGCAUGGGGAGCGAACAGG
rnacentral:rRNA from 1 species